CCUACGGGAGGCAGCAGUGGGGAAUUUUGGACAAUGGGCGCAAGCCUGAUCCAGCAAUGCCGCGUGAGUGAAGAAGGCCUUCGGGUUGUAAAGCUCUUUUGUCAGGGAAGAAACGGUUCGGGUUAAUACCUUGGGCUAAUGACGGUACCUGAAGAAUAAGCACCGGCUAACUACGUGCCAGCAGCCGCGGUAAUACGUAGGGUGCAAGCGUUAAUCGGAAUUACUGGGCGUAAAGCGUGCGCAGGCGGUUGUGCAAGACAGAUGUGAAAUCCCCGGGCUCAACCUGGGAAUUGCAUUUGUGACUGUACGGCUAGAGUGUGUCAGAGGGGGGUAGAAUUCCACGUGUAGCAGUGAAAUGCGUAGAGAUGUGGAGGAAUACCGAUGGCGAAGGCAGCCCCCUGGGAUAACACUGACGCUCAUGCACGAAAGCGUAGGGGAGCAAACAGGAUUAGAUACCCUGGUAGUCCACGCCCUAAACGAUGUCUACUAGUUGUCGGGUCUUUAUUGACUUGGUAACGCAGCUAACGCGUGAAGUAGACCGCCUGGGGAGUACGGUCGCAAGNUUAAAACCUUAAGGAAUUGACGG
rnacentral:rRNA from 1 species